rnacentral:rRNA from 1 species
UACGAAGGGGGCUAGCGUUGCUCGGAAUCACUGGGCGUAAAGCGCACGUAGGCGGCUUGUUAAGUCAGGGGUGAAAUCCUGGAGCUCAACUCCAGAACUGCCUUUGAUACUGAAGAUCUUGAGUUCGGGAGAGGUGAGUGGAACUGCGAGUGUAGAGGUGAAAUUCGUAGAUAUUCGCAAGAACACCAGUGGCGAAGGCGGCUCACUGGCCCGAUACUGACGCUGAGGCACGAAAGCGUGGGGAGCAAACAGG